rnacentral:rRNA from 1 species
UACGUAGGGCGCAAGCGUUGUCCGGAAUUAUUGGGCGUAAAGAGCUCGUAGGCGGUUUGUCGCGUCUGCUGUGAAAGCCCGGGGCUCAACCCCGGGUCUGCAGUGGGUACGGGCAGACUAGAGUGCAGUAGGGGAGACUGGAAUUCCUGGUCGUAGCGGUGAAAUGCGACAGAUAUCAGGAGGAACGACCGCAUGGCG